UACGAAGGGGGCUAGCGUUGCUCGGAUUGACUGGGCGUAAAGGGCGCGUAGGCGGUUCGUACAGUCAGACGUGAAAUUCCCGGGCUCAACCUGGGGCUGCACUUGAUACGUAGGAACUGGAGUGGGGAAGAGGGUCGUGGAAUUCCCAGUGUAGAGGUGAAAUUCGUAGAUAUUGGGAAGAACACCGGUGGCGAAGGCGGCGACCUGGUCCUUGACUGACGCUGAGGCGCGAAAGCGUGGGGAGCAAACAGG
rnacentral:rRNA from 1 species